GGACGGAAAAAAUUUAUAGAGAUUAUUAAUUUAUCGAGUAUUAAUUUAUAGAGGUUCUACCGUAUAAAGAAUUUCCAGUUUAGCUCAUAAUCUUAGUAGAGUAUAUUUUGUUGAUGACAAAAAAAAACAUAGCAUAUUUAACCAUCAAGUUUUUUGUUUUUGUUUUUGUUUUGUUGGGAUACUCAACUUUAUAAUAGGGAAACAAGAUUAAAAAAAAAAUCUACAAAAACGAUAUAGUUUAAAGAUGGCGUUUUUCAUUUUGAAAUAAAUGGAAGUUUAUCUGGUAGAGUUUGUUUUUUUUUUUUUAUAAAGGGGAGGGUAGAGUUUGUUUGCAUCCAACUUUAGAAAGAGUUUUGGAUUGUUUCUCAUUUGUUUCUUUCUCAGCAUUUAAUUGUAAAGAAAACUUAUCAACUAAGAAAAUUUACAUUACCAAUUUUAGCAAAAAAACGUUUUCUUGCAGUUACUCCUUGAGAUCGUUGGGAGACGUUUUCAGAAAAGAAAAAAUUAUACCAUAGACGAAAUGGUUGAAGUUACUUGGGAGACCGACAUGAAUCACACAGUGCCAAAAAUCUUCCCAUAAAAAAGUUUGUUCGUGCCUUUUCCGAUAGCUUUGGAGAAUGCUCUUGUUUGAUCGCGUGAGCAAGUGCAUGCAUAUACAUGCGCAUGAUGUAUAUGUUCUGCUUAUUCAAUCUUAUCCGUUUGUUCGCUAUGAUACAUUCCAAGAAAAGAACUUCGAUCAUUUUUCCCAAAAAAAUGAAGAUGA
rnacentral:lncRNA from 1 species